GACGAACGCUGGCGGCGUGCUUAACACAUGCAAGUCGAACGGAAAGGCCCUGCUUUUGUGGGGUGCUCGAGUGGCGAACGGGUGAGUAACACGUGAGUAACCUGCCCUUGACUUUGGGAUAACUUCAGGAAACUGGGGCUAAUACCGGAUAGGAGCUCCUGCUGCAUGGUGGGGGUUGGAAAGUUUCGGCGGUUGGGGAUGGACUCGCGGCUUAUCAGCUUGUUGGUGGGGUAGUGGCUUACCAAGGCUUUGACGGGUAGCCGGCCUGAGAGGGUGACCGGCCACAUUGGGACUGAGAUACGGCCCAGACUCCUACGGGAGGAAGCAGUGGGGAAUAUUGCACAAUGGGCGGAAGCCUGAUGCAGCAACGCCGCGUGCGGGAUGACGGACUUCGGGUUGUAAAACGCUUUCGCCUGUGACGAAGCGUGAGUGACGGUAAUGGGUAAAGAAGCACCGGCUAACUACGUG
rnacentral:rRNA from 1 species